rnacentral:rRNA from 1 species
UCCCUACGGGGUGCAGCAGGCGCGAAAACUUUACAAUGCGGGAAACCGUGAUAAGGGAACUCCGAGUGCCCGUAAAAUCGGGCUGUCCAUCUGUUUAAAUAACAGGUGAAGAAAGGGCCGGGCAAGACCGGUGCCAGCCGCCGCGGUAAUACCGGCGGCUCGAGUGGUGGCCACUAUUACUGGGCUUAAAGCGUUCGUAGCUGGUUUGUUAAGUCUCUGGGGAAAUCUGCCGGCUCAACCGGCAGGCGUUCCAGGGAUACUGGCAGACUAGGGACCGGGAGAGGUGAGGGGUACUCCAGGGGUAGGAGUGAAAUCCUGUAAUCCUUGGGGGACCACCUGUGGCGAAGGCGCCUCACCAGAACGGCUCCGACAGUGAGGGACGAAAGCUGGGGGAGCAAACCGGAUUAGAUACCCGGGUAGUCCCAGCCGUAAACGAUGCGCGUUAGGUGUAUCGGUGACCACGAGUCACCGAGGUGCCGAAGAGAAAUCGUGAAACGUGCCGCCUGGGAAGUACGGUCGCAAGGCUGAAACUUAAAGGAAUUGGCGGGGGAGCACCACAACAGGUGGAGCCUGCGGUUUAAUCGGACUCAACGCCGGAAAUCUCACCGGAUAAGACAGCUGGAUGAUAGUCGGGCUGAAGACUCUACUUGACUAGCUGAGAAGAGGUGCAUGGCCA